AGUGAACGCUGGCGGUAGGCCUAACACAUGCAAGUCGAACGGCAGCACAGUAAGAGCUUGCUCUUACGGGUGGCGAGUGGCGGACGGGUGAGGAAUACAUCGGAAUCUACUUUUUCGUGGGGGAUAACGUAGGGAAACUUACGCUAAUACCGCAUACGACCUACGGGUGAAAGCAGGGGAUCUUCGGACCUUGCGCGAUUGAAUGAGCCGAUGUCGGAUUAGCUAGUUGGCGGGGUAAAGGCCCACCAAGGCGACGAUCCGUAGCUGGUCUGAGAGGAUGAUCAGCCACACUGGAACUGAGACACGGUCCAGACUCCUACGAGAGGCAGCAGUGGGGAAUAGUGGACAAGGGGCGAAAGCCUGCUCCAGCCAUACCGCGUGGGUGGAGAAGGCCUGCGGGUUGUAAAGCCCUUUUGGUGGGAAAGAAGAGCAGCAGGUUAAUACCCCGCUGUUCUGACGGUACCCAGAGAAUAAGCAGCGGCUAACUUCG
rnacentral:rRNA from 1 species